GAGAGCAGAAUGCUCAUAGUGAUGAGAACGUGCUGGGGGACAAGAACAAGGAAGAGAUUGUAGGGAAGAAAAAAGCAUCCCAGAAAGGCUGUGGUCAGAAGACAGAUGGGUGCAGGGGUGGGGGAGAAAGGGAAGAGAAGUAAAUGCAUCCACAGCAGGAGACCUGCAAGAAUGGUUUUCUAGCCCUUGACCUUCUCCCAGAAUGUUCUUCACUGCAUCCCUGGCUGAGGUACACUUUCAUUCUUCUUGGAGCCUUUCAUUAAGAGACAAGGAAACUUAGCUGAGCAGCGAGUUUAAAUUUCAGAUGCAGCCGGGGACCGUAAGAGGUCAAGGAAAACUUUUUCGUCCACUACACUUGUAUAAAAUAAACAUGAAGAAAGGAGUCCCCUUUGCUGUCUUUAACCUGCAGCAUGAAUGUACCUGACAUUCCUUGGUCCUCUCUGACUCCCCAGAGGCCACUGUCAAAUGUCAUCUCACCCAAACAACAGAAAUCUUACUGCAAAAAUAUUGAUGCAGCCCCUUUCGAUGAAAAAAAAUGCACGGCUGAAUCGUUCUUUGAAUGAGCAAGUGCUCAAGAUGCAAUAGGCUUCCUGCAGGCCUUCCUUCCUUUGCUAGUGUGGGCUGUUAAUUAUAUGAAUGUAGGUCUAAGGACACUGAAGAAAAUUUCAGCAUUGCACAAUUCAAGCAAAUGUUCAAUGUCCAACCAAAUACUUCAUUCUAUAUGGGACAAAAAUAGAUGGAAAUGUGUUAUUUGUGAUUCAGCUUGGCUUGCUUUUUUGACUUAACAACUGAUUUCAUUUUUAUAU